GUAAACGGCGGCCGUAACUAUAACGGUCCUAAGGUAGCGAAAUUCCUUGUCGGGUAAGUUCCGACCUGCACGAAUGGCGUAAUGAUGGCCAGGCUGUCUCCACCCGAGACUCAGUGAAAUUGAACUCGCUGUGAAGAUGCAGUGUACCCGCGGCAAGACGGAAAGACCCCGUGAACCUUUACUAUAGCUUGACACUGAACAUUGAGCCUUGAUGUGUAGGAUAGGUGGGAGGCUUUGAAGUGUGGACGCCAGUCUGCAUGGAGCCGACCUUGAAAUACCACCCUUUAAUGUUUGAUGUUCUAACGUUGACCCGUAAUCCGGGUUGCGGACAGUGUCUGGUGGGUAGUUUGACUGGGGCGGUCUCCUCCUAAAGAGUAACGGAGGAGCACGAAGGUUGGCUAAUCCUGGUCGGACAUCAGGAGGUUAGUGCAAUGGCAUAAGCCAGCUUGACUGCGAGCGUGACGGCGCGAGCAGGUGCGAAAGCAGGUCAUAGUGAUCCGGUGGUUCUGAAUGGAAGGGCCAUCGCUCAACGGAUAAAAGGUACUCCGGGGAUAACAGGCUGAUACCGCCCAAGAGUUCAUAUCGACGGCGGUGUUUGGCACCUCGAUGUCGGCUCAUCACAUCCUGGGGCUGAAGUAGGUCCCAAGGGUAUGGCUGUUCGCCAUUUAAAGUGGUACGCGAGCUGGGUUUAGAACGUCGUGAGACAGUUCGGUCCCUAUCUGCCGUGGGCGCUGGAGAACUGAGGGGGGCUGCUCCUAGUACGAGAGGACCGGAGUGGACGCAUCACUGGUGUUCGGGUUGUCAUGCCAAUGGCACUGCCCGGUAGCUAAAUGCGGAAGAGAUAAGUGCUGAAAGCAUCUAAGCACGAAACUUGCCCCGAGAUGAGUUCUCCCUGACUCCUUGAGAGUCCUGAAGGAACGUUGAAGACGACGACGUUGAUAGGCCGGGUGUGUAAGCGCAGCGAUGCGUUGAGCUAACCGGUACUAAUGAACCGUGAGG
rnacentral:rRNA from 1 species